CAAUAGCGUAUAUUUAAGUUGCUGCAGUUAAAAAGCUCGCAGUUGGAUUUCGGGUGGGAAUGGCCGGUCCGCCGUUUCGGUGUGCACUUGCUACGCCCACCUUGCUGCCGGGGACGUGCUCUUGAGUUCACGCUCGGGACACGGAGUCGGCGAGGUUACUUUGAGUAAAUUAGAGUGUUCAAAGCAGGCCUACGCUCUGAAUACAUUAGCAUGGAAUAACACGAUAGGACUCUGGCCUAUCUUGUUGGUCUGUAGGACCGGAGUAAUGAUUAAGAGGGACAGUCGGGGGCACUCGUAUUUCAUUGUCAGAGGUGAAAUUCUUGGAUUUAUGAAAGACGAACUACUGCGAAAGCAUUUGCCAAGGAUGUUUUCAUUAA
rnacentral:rRNA from 1 species